AGAGUUUGAUCCUGGCUCAGGACGAACGCUGGCGGCGUGCCUAAUACAUGCAAGUCGAGCGAGCGGAACCAACAGAUUUACUUCGGUAAUGACGUUGGGAAAGCGAGCGGCGGAUGGGUGAGUAACACGUGGGGAACCUGCCCCUAAGUCUGGGAUACCAUUUGGAAACAGGUGCUAAUACCGGAUAAUAAAGCAGAUCGCAUGAUCAGCUUUUGAAAGGCGGCGUAAGCUGUCGCUAAGGGAUGGCCCCGCGGUGCAUUAGCUAGUUGGUAAGGUAACGGCUUACCAAGGCGACGAUGCAUAGCCGAGUUGAGAGACUGAUCGGCCACAUUGGGACUGAGACACGGCCCAAACUCCUACGGGAGGCAGCAGUAGGGAAUCUUCCACAAUGGACGCAAGUCUGAUGGAGCAACGCCGCGUGAGUGAAGAAGGUUUUCGGAUCGUAAAGCUCUGUUGUUGGUGAAGAAGGAUAGAGGUAGUAACUGGCCUUUAUUUGACGGUAAUCAACCAGAAAGUCACGGCUAACUACGUGCCAGCAGCCGCGGUAAUACGUAGGUGGCAAGCGUUGUCCGGAUUUAUUGGGCGUAAAGCGAGCGCAGGCGGAAAAAAUAAGUCUAAUGUGAAAGCCCUCGGCUUAACCGAGGAACUGCAUCGGGAAACUGUUUUUCUUGAGUGCAAAAGAGGAGAGUGGAACU
rnacentral:rRNA from 1 species